rnacentral:rRNA from 1 species
UGAUCCAGCGACGCCGCGUGAGUGAAGAAGUAUUUCGGUAUGUAAAGCUCUAUCAGCAGGGAAGAAGAAAUGACGGUACCUGAGUAAGAAGCCCCGGCUAACUACGUGCC